rnacentral:rRNA from 1 species
AUAUGGAGGAUGCAAGCGUUAUCCGGAUUCAUUGGGUUUAAAGGGUGCGCAGGCGGAUUGGUAAGUCAGGGGUGAAAUCCCACAGCUCAACUGUGGAACUGCCUUUGAUACUGUCAGUCUAGAGUAUAGUUGAAGUGGGCGGAAUGUGUCAUGUAGCGGUGAAAUGCUUAGAUAUGACACAGAACACCGAUCGCGAGGGCAGCUCGCUAAGCUAUAACUGACGCUCAUGCACGAAAGCGGUGGGGAUC